ACAUUUGCCCGUGUUGCCAUACGUUUUCUAGGUUGUGCAGACUGCAAUGAUGCAAAGGCAAUUACGUUUCUCCGCUGUAUAUUGUUCUCGGCCACAUCCGUUUCCGGUCGGACAGCUUAUCCGUAAGCAAAAUCUACAAUUUUUCAAUUUCACACGAAUUCGCAACAAUUGCGGUUCGCCAGUUUCUAUGCGUGUGUAUUUUUUUUUUUUUUUUUAAUUAUAAUAUUUAUAGUAAACCGACUACUCAGUUCAGUUAAGUGUUAUUUAAAUUAAAAAAGUGUAUAUUUAUGCGAUUUCAAGAUUUUUUGUUUUUAUUGUUCCGACAGUUCCGAACCCGAAUUAAUAUUUAAACGUAAACUAUAAGUAAACAUUAUACGAUUAUAUUAUGUCGAAAUCUUUAGAUACGUUUUGUAACAAAUGUGAUACACUACGUUCGUAUACACCUAUAAUUGUGACGAUUUAUCGAUACCAACAAAUUGACCAACAACUAUACUCAAUGUUAACAAGAAUCGAAGCAUACUGAAUUCGAACUUUCUAUGAGAUAUUGGAAGAGUAUUUGAAGUUUUCCAAACGUUUUAAAUAUAAACACGGGUGUAACUAAUUUACUACAAUGUUGAUCAACGAGGUAACAUGAUUAGACUAGUCAUCGCAUUCACACACAAAUACUCCUGGACAAACAUCUGAAUCAUCAGUUUACCAAAAACCAAUUUCACUCGAAUUUAUGCAUUGUGGACACAGAAGUAAAUUAAAAUUAGGCAAAAGUGGAUUGCAGAUAAAAUGAAAAUUUCCAGGAAUUAAUUAAUAUUUCGUGCAGUCAUCGAAUGUACACGCGGUUCACGUGUGUACAACGGUGUUUGUUUAUUUUUUUUUAUGUAAAAAAAUAAAAUAACGUUAUAAUAGCGCUAGAAGAAAAAACAUUUGAAGUUUGUGAGGAAGUACACAAACACGUCAAUUCGCAUCGGGGCGGUUUUGAGCGACCGGCCGAAAAGGGAUGCACCAGGAGGGUCCUGUUC